rnacentral:tRNA from 1 species
GUUACUUUGGCAGAUUAGUGCAAUUGAUUUAGGGUCUUUUUAUGUAUUUAUACAUGUAAUA